AAGGGAAUAAAAGCAGGCCAUCAGAGCCAGCCAUGGCAACGUGGUGUGGUCUGCUUCUGCACUGUGGAAGCUUUGUUCUUUGGCUCUUCACAGUGAAUCUUCCUAUUGCCUACUCUUCGGGUCUGUGCCACUUUUAUGAGCUGUAACACUCAUUGGGAAGUUCUGCAGUUUCACUCCUGAGGCCAGCAAGACCACGAACCCACUGGAAGGAAUGAACAGCUCCAGACCUGCCACCUUUAAGAGCUGUAACACUCACCUCGAAGGUCUGCAGCUUCACUUGUGAAGUGAGCGAGACCACGAACCCACCCAAAGGAAGAAACUCUGGACACAUCUGAAGGAACGAACUCCAGACACACCUUAUCUAAGAACUGUAACACUUACCGCGAGGGUCCGCAGCUUCAGUCUGGAAGUCAGCGAGACCAAGAACCGACCAAUUCCGGACACAUUAGGGUACAAAUAAUUUUUAAGGAGCUGAUUAAAUACAUUACUACUUACAUAAAAUAUUAGGAUAAAAAUAAAUCUACCUGGCAACACAGCGUUGUGAAACUGUAGAAUGGCAAGAAGAAGAAAAAGACAGCAUGGAAGCCUUUCCAGUUGUGAGUAAUUUGCUGAUUCAUUGUCAAGAGGAGACAAAUGAAACAAAAGGGAAAAUUCGUGUGCUGCUUAAACACAGAAUGAACGAGCUUUGUGGACUACUGGGCCCAGCUGAAUGGUUCUCACCUGAGGUCUGUCAUGUAGUAGAGGAAGCUGCAGUCAGCAGAAGGCAUGACUGAUUGCAUGCCAAAAAUGGCUCAGUCACAUGGGUGGAAUUUGAUGCCAGUUCCUGGUUGAGAGCUCAGCUAUGGCUAUUGACUGGAUAUCUACACAGGGCUGUCCUCGUGGCAUGGGAGUCUCACAAUGACAACUGAGUUCUCAGAAGGAGAGUGCCUACAGCAGGCACUCCAAAAGAGGGCACUCCCAGACCAAGAGAUGGAUUAGCUGUUUGCCACACUCCUUUUUAUUGCUAGUCUCCACGUCUUAACCUAUGAGAGACUGUAUAACUGAGCUGUAGAUGAAAUAAGGUGGGCCAAAGCAAUAUAUGCCACAAGGAAUACCCACAAGCAUGACUUACGUUAGUUUUCCUGCUCGACUCUAGGAAAUAAAGCAGAACAUAGACUCAGCUGCUCCACCAGCCCCAGUGUCCACCUACCUGGAACUCCCAUAGGUAUUAAAUAGGUGAACAUUAAAAACUUUCAGUUUGCUGAUCCAUUAUAUUUCUGAGUACACUUGUUGUUCAGCCUCACCUACCCCAAUGAAUAUAUGAUAUCAGACAUAUUAAAAGACAUCUGGAUUCUGUAUUAAACUAUUUUCUAUCCAAGUUUUAAAAGAGUAUCUCUAUGAUUUCAAAAAUAUGUUUGAAUGAAUAUCUUUAAUAUACAAUUGGCUAUAUGCUAUCUGUAAUUAUACCAUAAGCCUGGGAAUUUUUGUUAUGUAAAAGUUUAAAUGACAAAAUCCUGACAGAUUUAAUUAGGUUUUUGUGAAUGUUAAGUUGACAGCUAUAGGCAACAAUAUUUCAUUAAAGAGAUAUUUAAAUAAAUGUUAAUUUUGAUUUUA